AACGAACGCUGGCGGCAGGCCUAACACAUGCAAGUCGAGCGAACCCUUCGGGGUUAGCGGCGGACGGGUUAGUAACGCGUGGGAAUAUACCCAAAGGUACGGAAUAGCCUCGGGAAACUGAGAGUAAUACCGUAUGUGCCCCUCGGGGGAAAGAUUUAUCGCCUUUGGAUUAGCCCGCGUUGGAUUAGGUAGUUGGUGGGGUAAAGGCCUACCAAGGCAACGAUCCAUAGCUGGUCUGAGAGGAUGAUCAGCCACAUUGGGACUGAGACACGGCCCAAACUCCUACGGGAGGCAGCAGUGGGGAAUAUUGGACAAUGGGCGCAAGCCUGAUCCAGCCAUGCCGCGUGAGUGAUGAAGGCCCUAGGGUUGUAAAGCUCUUUCACCGGAGAAGAUAAUGACGGUAUCCGGAGAAGAAGCCCCGGCUAACUUCGUGCCAGCCGCCGCAGUAAUAC
rnacentral:rRNA from 1 species